UGGGAUCAAACUUUAUUAAAACACACUGGCCCACCCCACUAGGCAUGCAGAUUCUCAGAGCAAGCAAAUAAGACAUACUAAAACAUACAAAUGCAUAACUCAUUUUCCUGGUGUUUCAAAUAUUUAUUUUAGGUAGUAAAGGCUUUUGUCGUUCUAAAUCCUGAUUACAAGUCACAUGAUCAAGAACAACUAAUAAAGGAGAUUCAGGAGCAUGUUAAAAAAACCACAGCACCUUACAAAUAUCCCAGAAAGGUAGAAUUUAUUCAAGAGCUGCCAAAGACUAUCAGUGGGAAGACAAAAAGAAAUGAACUGAGGAAGAAAGAAUGGAAGACAAUUUAAAGUUGUUUCAUUAAUUACCAUAUCUAUAAAACAAACAUAGUAUCUGUCAAUCUCUAGAAACCACAAGAUGAUGGAGAGGUGAUAAAAACUGUGGUAGUAUGCUUAGAAACUGUUGAUUUAAAAUAUCUUGUGGUUAUGAUAUCAGAGGCUACAUUUUGAAAUAAAAUAUUUGGCAAAUUCC
rnacentral:sRNA from 1 species